AGAUAGUGUAGAGUAGUUGUAAAUGGAAAUUGUUCAAAUUAGACAAAAGUGGUAAGUGGAGUGCCUCAGGGUUCUGUCCUGGGUCCACUUCUCUUUACAAAUGACCUUGAAGUUGGCAAUGAAAUUCACAUGUUGGUGUUUGCAGAUGACACAAAAUUAGGUAAGGUUCCAGUUCCAGUUCGAACAUGAUAUAACUUCUCUACAGAGGGAUUUGGAAAAAUUGUGAGACCGGACAAGCAGUUCCAGAUGAGAUUCUGCACAGUCAUGCAUUUUGGAAUGAGGAAGCCACAAGCCUCUUAUAAAUUAAAGGGCUUGAGUUAGG